AUUUUUGGAGAUGUUUUUAAUUUUAUUUGACAUAUCAAUGUUCGCGAGUGUUGAUGCAUCUACCUAUAUUCUUAUACCAUGCUCAAGGCAGAAUAAUCCUGUUCAGUUUGGAAAACAUCUUCAGACCGACAAGUGCCCCGUGAGAACAUAAUGCUAGGAACACAAUUGGAGCGAACGACGAAUUUUUUCGCGGCGUAUGUUCGUCGUAAAAAAUAAAACACAUAUGUGUAUAUGGAAGUGCACACAAUCACGGCACCGGCGAAAAUUUCGUCGGUCGCCGCGAACUCAAUUAGCUUUAUUUACAAGGUGGCCAUACUUGUACGAAUUUUAUGUGUUUUAGUAAAUAAAGUUACUUUUUACUUUAAAAUUUGUUAUGGUCACUCUACUAUCUGUUACUCGUAUAAAAAAACAUAAUUAAUUUGUUUAUUUAUUUGUGUACUUGCGCCUGAGUGAAGAUGGAUAUCAGUGAAUUUAUAAUAGAGAAGAUGGACAUAAGUGAAAUUAUAAUAGAGAACGUAAAGAAUUAUGUGUUCUUGUAUAAUUCAUUGUAGUCAACAAAUGAGCAAAAAGUAAACGACUUCAUCAGCUGUUUUAUAAUUUCGUCGGUAUUGUGUUCCAUACGACGAAUUUUCGCGGCUCAUUUUGUCGCCGCGUAGGGCGAAAUUCGUCGUUCGCUCCAAUUGUGUUCCUAGCAUAAGUGCAGUUGUUUAAAAUGACAUAAAAAGUAUUGAAGUUUGCAAACACAAAAUUAACAUUGUACAAAACUAAACCAAUUGAAUUACGUAAAAUUGUACAAUAUUAGAAAACAAAAUUCUACAAUAUAAACAAACAAUUGUACCUACACAUAAACAACAAAGCUUUAAAUUACAAAUAAAAUAAUACUUUGAAUUAAAAUUACACAUUCAAAUAUUUAACAAAUUAAAAAACGGGAAGUAAAAGUUAAAGAUAAUAACAUUUGAUCCUCGAGGAGCCAGAUUAUGUUUUUUAAAACAAAUUUAAAAAAAGUGCAAAGUGAAGUGAAAUUAAAAUACAAUUUAACAAUAUUAUAAAAGUGAACUAAAAUACGCUAGUCAUAAAAGUGAACAUAUACAAAUUGAACAACAAAAAGAAAACAAAGCAAACAGUGAAUGAUGUUGAGCAAGAAAUCAAAAAAAAAAAAAAAAAAAAAAAACAUUUGAACAAAAGGUUUUUAACAGAAAACAAAGUGGUAUAAAAAGAGACAUUCAAAAAAGAACCAAAAAAAAAAUAGAAGUUUUUCAACAAGACAGUAGACACCGGCAAACACACACAUACACACGAAUACAGAACAGUGAUCAGUGGAAGCAAAUAGUGAUAAAACAACAAGAUACAGGAGUGAGAGACCACUGGAAAACUUAAAGAGACAAAAAAAUAAACCACAAAUAAAAGCAACAAGCAAAUCGAAAAUUAAAGAAGACACAGCGGUUCGGAUGUAACUAAUCUAAAUUCAAACAAGUAAAAAACCAAUAUGGCGGCCUACCUACCUACCUACACGCAACUGGGAAGAUGACGGAAAAGAGAGACCCACAAACCGGCGUCUGGACUGAUAACGUCCGCAACAGUAGGAUCAGCGGCAACGUGAGCAACGACAAGAGCAGCGCCCCAAGAAGAAGACUCACUACAGAGAAGAAGACAACAUUCUAGCAGCAGGUCGGGUCGGCGGGAGAGCCCAAGAGAGCGACCGAGUUUCUGGCAGUAUUCCUGUGGGUUAUGCCAAGAUGACCACGCUCUUAGCACAUGCCACCUUUCGCUUGGGUCUUGGUGUUUGUCCCAACUGCCCUGGUGCGUUUCACAACUGAUAGUGUCGAUACAUGGAAAACUGUGCGAGCCCUAAUUUGUCAAUCGUCAUCAAUGUCAAAAAUUGCCUAUUCAGCAUUUCAACGACUGGGGCUUAGGUCAUUCAUGUACCAAAGCAAACGAUUUGCAAUCUUUAAAAUAAUUGAAAGGCAUACAAAUGGCGCUUAGGCUUUAAAGGUAAAUGCCACGCAGAACCUACUCCGACCCAUUUAUCGAAAACCCAACAUCAUAUUUCAAUCAACAAGCUCUCGCUGACCCCGACCCCCGUAGCAUCAUUCUAAUCGAUCUUGAAUUGGGCGCAGAUACAUAUUCAGCAAUACAACAAGAAGGAUGUACGCCUGCAGGAGUUGGUGACGUAAAGGCAUUCCAGACAAAAAUCGGAUAUGUAUUUUCUGGUCCCAUUAAAAAUAUGCCUACUAACUAAAUCAUAUUUGUUUUCAAAGGUUUCAUAGCGGGGGAGGCAUGUACAUGACUGUACCAACAAUUUUUCAAGAGUGUGCUAUAUUUUUAACCAAAAAUGUAUGUGCUAUUUAUUUAGCACAUACUGUAGAAUAGCGGUACGCACCGCAUAUAUUUAUCACAUAUACAUAUUUGCAAGCAUAGAAUUUGUCAUUUCUCUUUGUGCUUUCCAUUGCAUUGGAAACGUCAAGGCGACGUCUGUGGUGUUGCAAAUCACGGUUAGGUCAUUCCAAGUUUUGUUAUUAAACCUUUAAAGACAGCAUCCCCCAUCGUGACCGUGAAAAAAAGUGCUAAGUCACAAGUAUUUAAAUAAGUGGCCAAAUAGCACAAGUGUAAAAUAUUAAAAAAAAUAAAAUAAUUACCUGUUAACUGAAAUACUCACCUGUGAAAACUUACCUUUUGCAACAUUUAUAAAUAAACCUGAACUAAAGUAUAUUUAACUGAAAUACUCACCUGUGAAAACUUACCUUUGCAACAUUUAUAAAUAAACCUGAACUAAAGUACAUUUAACUGAAAUACUCACCUGUGAAAACUUACCUUUUGCAUCAUUUGUAAAUGAACCUGCACUAAAGUGUACCUAACUGAAAUACUUACAUUACUUACUUAUUUAAUAAAUGCAAAUUAAAAA